UACGUAGGGACCAAGCGUUGUUCGGAUUUACUGGGCGUAAAGGGCGCGUAGGCGGCUUAACAAGUCACUUGUGAAAUCUCCGGGCUUAACCCGGAAAGGUCAGCCGAUACUGCGGGGCUAGAGUGCAGAAGGGGCAACUGGAAUUCUCGGUGUAGCGGUGAAAUGCGUAGAUAUCGAGAGGAACACCUGCGGCGAAGGCGGGUUGCUGGGCUGACACUGACGCUGAGGCGCGAAAGCUAGGGGAGCGAACGGG
rnacentral:rRNA from 1 species